CUGGAAUUCAGAAUUCUGCAUCGUGUGUUUCCGUACUUUUCCCAAUGAAAAAGCUUUGUAUUCAAGUCCUUUUGUUCUGUGUGCUCCCUCUGUCCACCCAGGUACAUUUGUAAAUUCGUUUUUAGUGGCUGACUUGUUUUUUGUGCCUGAAACAGGUGCACCAGCAUCCCACCUGCAAACAGAAGACUGCACAGGGGAGAGUUUAGAGGGAGAAGGUAGAGAGAGUAGAGAUGUUAGUAAGGGGGCGUGUGAGGCAGACAAAAUCUGGAAUAUAAUUUUCACACAAUUUGAGAUUCUGCAACAGAAGGAAGGUACAUUGGAGAAGAAUGGCCAACAUGAAAGUGAAGGAACAAAAUUAAUUUCAGAAAGUGAGAAGGGGGAGCAAAAGGCUGAGAAACUGGGUGGGAAAGAAGAGAUGAAAAAUGAUGCUAGGGAGAAUGAAGGAAAAUAGGAAAAGAAAAAGAAAAAAAUGGAGAUGAAAAGGUUAAUCUCUGAUAUUAAGGGAGACUUAGAAUUUAUUGAAAUUGCGAGCUGAAGGAAAUCGCACUUCUGAAUUCCAGAUUCACCUGGUCCAAUCUAUAGGAAAAUCCCCUUUGCUUGAAACUGGAUAGAUUCCAUUUUUAACUUAGAUUGGGAUAAUCAUUGGGGAGAUUUGGUUUCCAGAGCCUUGCCUAGGGUCACCUCUGAUCACUGUCCCAUUAAAAUAGGGGUGGAAUCAUUUGUCAAUGGACCUAAACCUUUCAAAUUUGAAAACAUGUGGCUAACACACCCUAAUUUUGUGAAUAAAAUGAAGGAAUGGUAAGGUGAGGAGUUAAGCAGUGUAGAGUGGAAGGGUGUAAAAUUCUAUAAGAAAUUGAAGAGACUAAGAUGCACAACAAAAGAGUGGAAUAUGGAUCAUUUUGGGAAAAUUGAGGAACAAAAAAUGAGAUUAAUAUCUCGGAUUGAAGAGUUGGAUGAAAAGGAAUCUCAAAAUAAUUUGAACGAGUGUGAUAGAGAAUUGAGAAGACGGUUGAAGAAGGACCUAGAAGAGGUGUUUUUGAGAGAGGAAAUUAAAUGGAGGCAGAAAUCAAGGCACAAGUGGAUUAAGAAAGGUGAUGGGAAUACUAGAUUCUUUCGUGAUUUAGCAAAUGGAAGGAGGAGGAAGAAUUUUGUGACCAAAUUAGAGAUAUGAGAGGAGAUUAUUACCAAUUAAGAUGAGAUAGCCAGGAAAGCACAUAGUAAGUCGCAGAGUUAAUGCUACUUUUUUUUGCUCUAAUCCCUAAGAAUCCUAAUGCUAGCCACCUAAAAGAUUUUGGGCCAAUUAGUUGGGUGACAAGCAUUUACAAAAUCUUGGCUAAAGUGCUCUCCUUGAGGAUUAAAGCAAUUCUCCCCUCCAUUAUCAGUCAAGCCCAAGGGGCUUUUAUUCACGGAAGACAAAAUAACUGAUCAAAUUUUGAUUGCCAAUAAAUGUGAAGAGAUGAAAAGGUUUGGAAAAAGAGGCUUUAUGUGUAAAAUGGAUCUUGAGAAGGCUUAUGAUUUGGUGGAUUGGUAGUUUCUUUUAGAGGUGUUGAGGAGGUGCGAGUUUGGGCAGAGGUGGUGUAUCUGGAUACUUGGGUGUAUUAGUACUUGUCAUAACUCAAUAUUGGUGAAUGGAGUAGUGAAGGACUUGUUUUCAACUUGUAGGGGUGUUAGGCAAGGGGACCCACUUUCAUAUUUCCUUUUUACCCUAGUAGCUGAUGUCUUCAGUAGAAUCAUCACUAAGGUUGAUAGGGAAGAUGGAAGGUGUGGAUUAGUGAUGGAGUUCAAGCCAGCGACUACAUGGAGAAGAAAGCUGGAGUUCGAAGCCAAAAAGUACAUAUUUGAAGCUUGCAAAAACAAGGGACAGGUGUGCCUGAAGAUUAGAGAAGAGAAAAAAAAAUAAUUAUUUUUCUUUGCAGGGAUGCAGUGAUUUGGGUGAAGGGUUUUGUGGAUGCAUUUACUUACAACAAGAAGCAAACUGGAUGGAAAGGUCAGUUGAAUAUGGGAAGGAAGAACUUUAUAGCUAAGCUGAGAAACAAUAGAAAGGGGUGGUUCACAGUUAUAACAGAACGUUUUGGGGAAAGCAACAGGAAGUUCGUGUGUAUUCCGAAAGGAAAUAGGAAGACGGGUUGAAGUGUUUUGUAGAUAAGCUACAGGAGUACUUGGUAUUGACGGAGAUGAAUGAAAAGGUUCAGCAAAAGAUUUCAACGGAGAAAGCAGAGAUGGGGGAGAAUGAGAGUGUUUUGGUAGGAAAGGGAGAGCAAAUAACUCAGAAGGCAGUGAAGGAAUACAUUGCUUGCUCUGUUAAAUUGAGUAAAUUGGAGUUGAAUGUUGAUAAACAGAAAUGGAAUAACAAAUUUGUGUUGAUAGCUAGAAAAAAGAUUAAGGACUGGCAGCUCAUUGCAGAGGAAAUAAUGAAGAAUUUUAGCAUUAAAAAACUUGUUCUUGUGGUGUCGUUUAGUGAAAACAGAGCCAUUCUCGACAUAGGGGAGGUGAAAAUAGAACUCUCUUCUUUUGAAACACAGGAAGGUUUGAUCGUCAUCGAAGAAUGGCGUAUGUCUUGUAAUGAGAGAGAUAUUACAGUAGCUUGCUUCAACAUCAAGCUUCUUGGGGUUCCGUUCAACUUCUGGAAUAAGUCGAUAGUAGAUAAAAUAGUCCACACGGUGGGUGGAUCAAUGGAGGACUACGGCUUCAGUGACUUGAUGGAGAUCAAAGUAAGAAUCCGAGGGAUCAAGCCGGAAGAGGUGCCCCGUCUGGUCACUUUCUUCUCGGAGGGACUAUGGAGGAAGAUAUGGGUCCUAACGGAACUGGAAGCAUCUUUGUGGAGGAGCUGUUCAAAGGAGGAAGAAGAAGGUGACAUGGAGGAAGGAAGCGUACGUGGUAGACUUUUAGUGGGAGGGGAAGGAAAGGAACAUGGAGAACUUUUUGGGGAAGAGGAAGAGUCGAGUUCCAAGGGGGUACUGGGCGGCCACAUUGAAAGAGGAAAUAAUUCAAAAAUAUUUAAGGCGAAAAGCCAAGUGGUCGGCCCAUCAUAUGCUGAUGUGGUUAAGAUUCUGGGUGGGUUGACUUUCAAACCGGGGGGUAUCAGCAGUGACCCAUGUGGGUCAGGGCAGAGGGCUGGAAAAGAAGCCGGGCAGGUCGACCUUUGAACCGGGGGGAGUUGUUAGUGACCCACAUGAUAACUUAAAGUCUCACGUGGGUCGAGCUAAGGGGCUAGUCGAUAGUGGAUAGAUCUUCUGGUUUAUCUUCUUCCAAAGCAGCGAAUUUAAAAAGGAGAAAACUACAGUGGCGGAGCGAGAACAACAGUGAUCUACGGUUGGUGCCCCAUCGAAACUAUGAAGACCUCAGAGAAAUCGAAUCCCAGGUAUGCAAGAGAGAGAACUGAAGAAAGGGAGGAAUUGGAUGAAGGUUGGGUGCACUGUGGAGUAAACAACGAAGAGCCGGAGGACAAUUUGGAUGAGGGUACCAGCAUUGGAAGCGUGAAUGAUGAUGGUGAGUACGACAUAGGUGACUUGGGCAUGCUGAACAUUACAAGCCUAUUCCAGGAGGACAUAGAGGAGAAAUGGAGAUUGAACCCAGACAGCCAGAGAAGUCCGAUAGUUGAUGAAGAGUUGGGUCUCUUGAUGUAAAUGAGGCUAAAGACAUUAGUCAAAAUGUUGUGCUCCCAAGACUUCCGAUUGUGCAAGGUGCAAAAGAAGGGGUAAACUUGGAGAACCUGAGGCAGAGCGAGAACACACCAAUAAGAGGUAAACAAUGGGUAGAGAGGACAGAUUGCCAAAUUGCCCAAAGGACAGAAAUGCUUACCAACAAACUCAAGGAGAUAGACAUUGACCAACCAUCUAAACAAAGAAAGGGAGGAUAGGAACAACAUUAUGUGCCCCCAUUCAUCCUUCCAGUCAAACUCAGGCAUUGCUUUUUAGGGUGCAAAAAGGGCAAGAGAACUACACAGAUUAUCAUAAAUUUUGAAAGGAAUURAACACAAGACCAAUGUGUGUUCUUCUAAGAGACCAAAAAAUGCUUUAGAAAAAGCCGUAGCAAGGAGAACAAAAC